rnacentral:rRNA from 1 species
AUAUCAGUCAUGCAUAGCAUAUCAAUAAGCGGAGGAAAAGAAACUAACAAGGAUUCCCUUAGUAACGGCGAGUGAAGCGGGAAGAGCUCAAAUUUGAAAUCUUCAAGGUUUUACCUUGACGAAUUGUAGUUUAAAGAAGUGUUUUCUGUUGAAGUUUUGGUAAAAGUUCUUUGGAAUAGGACAUCAUAGAGGGUGAGAAUCCCGUAUUUGACCAUUACUUUCAGCUUUGUGAUACACUUUCAAAGAGUCGGAUUGUUUGGGAAUGCAGUCCAAAAUGGGUGGUAAAUUUCAUCUAAAGCUAAAUAUUGGCGAGAGACCGAUAGCGAACAAGUACCGUGAGGGAAAGAUGAAAAGAACUUUGAAAAGAGAGUUAAACAGUACGUGAAAUUGUCAAAAGGGAAGCGUUUGACACCAGUGUUGUUUUCUCGAAAAUCAAUUAAAAAGAGUUGGAUUUUGUGUUGUAUUGACUUUAUCAGCUUUCUUCACUCUUUUCCAGCUUUUUUUAAUGCACUUUUCGUUUAACAAGUCAAGCAUCAGUUUCUUUUGUUGUAAAAAGGUCAGUUGGAAGGUGGCUUUCUCUUCGGAGAAAGUGUUUAUAGCCUUUGACUCAUGCAAUCGGAGAGACUGAGGUCUGCAGCGUAGAUCCUUCGGGGUUAGAUACAUUUGUGCUAAGUUAUAGCUUUUCAUAGACAACUUGUUGACUAUGUUUAGUCUUGUAGCUUACUCGCUUAUGCUAUUUUACCUACGCUUAGGAUGUUGAACUCUAUCACACACAG